UACGUAGGGUGCAAGCGUUGUCCGGAAUUAUUGGGCGUAAAGAGCUCGUAGGCGGUUCGUCACGUCGGCUGUGAAAUCCCCGAGGCUCAACCUCGGGUCUGCAGUCGAUACGGGCGGACUGGAGUACUGCAGGGGGAGACUGGAAUUCCUGGUGUAGCGGUGAAAUGCGCAGAUAUCAGGAGGAACACCGGUGGCGAAGGCGGGACUCUGGGCCGAUACUGACGCUGAGGAGCGAAAGCGUGGGGAGCAAACAGG
rnacentral:rRNA from 1 species